AUUGAGUAGCCAUCAGAAAGGAGGAACUAGAUGUAUUCCAGUGAGAGACGUUACCAGGAGGAAGAAACUAUAAAGUUCAUGGUACUCAAGGGGGUCUCUGACCAAAAAAGGAUUAAGAAGAAUUGAGGCAAAAGAUGGAGUCACCCAGCCUGGAGUGUAGUGGUGCCAUCUCAGCUCACUGCAACAUCUACUUCCCAGGUUCAAGCAAUUCUCCUGCCUCAGCCUCCCAAGUAGCUGGAAUUACAGGCACACAACAAGACAUUCUCCAGAUCACCUGGCAUCUAGCUGGGGCCACAAGGUUUUUUUCUGCCAACGGAAUAUGUGCAGAAGUGAUGUAUAUGACCUCAGAGCCCAGCCUCUAAAUAUCCUGUGUCAUGCUCCACAUUCUGUCCAUUCAUCUCUCAGUUAACUAAAUAGAAGUGAUGCAAGGGAGGACUCCAAGGAAGCCCUAGGGAUCAUGAAGCUACAGAAUGGGAGAAUUGCUGUCACCACAGUUCUGGAAGAAGAAUUGUUCAGGAGAACAGCCAUUGGACUAUGGCAUGCCAAAGAAAUCUCUGUUGUGAAACCACAAUUAAAAG
rnacentral:lncRNA from 10 species